rnacentral:rRNA from 1 species
GCAAACGGGUGAGUAAUAUAUAGGAAUCUACCUAGCAGUAAGGAAUAACUCUGGGAAACCAGAGCUAAUGCCAUAUAUUACCGAUUAGUUAACUCUAGUCGGGAAAGAUUUAUCGCUGUUAGAUGAGCCUGUAUCAGAUUAGCUUGUUGGUGGGGUAAUGGCCUACCAAGGCGAUGAUCUGUAGCUGGUCUGAGAGGAUGAUCAGCCACACUGGGACUGCGACACGGCCCAGACUCC